AAUGGCCUAACGGCUGAACCAGCAACUUGGAAGAAUGAAAAACGGGGUCGUAUAAAAUUCUAGAUAAAAGAUGAUUAUGACAACUGUUUAUCUAUAAGUCUUGUCCAAAUAACGUGCCAGCAGACGCGGUAAUACGUUGAAGACUAGUGUUAUUCAUCUUUAUUGGGUUUAAAGGGUACCUAGACGGAAAUACUAAGCCAUAUAAGGAACUAGUAAUCUAGAGUCAUAUGUAAGAAGGUAGAAUUUACAGAGUAGAGUUAAUAUUUGUUUAUACUGUAAGGACUGGUUAAAGCGAAGGCAACCUUCUAUGUAAUAUACGUGCUUAAACUAAACAUAUUUAAAUAAUUAAGCCUAUAAUGACUGACGUUGAGGGACGAAGCCUAGGGUAGCGAUAAGGAUUAGAGACCCUAAUAGUCCUAGGAGAAAAUUAUGAAUGCCAUAUGCUAGAUGUUUUUAGCAUAUAAAUGAAAGUGUAAGCAUUCCACCUCAUGAGUAAAGCGGCAACGCUCAAAUUGAAAUCAUUAGACCGUUUCUGAAACCAGUAGUGAAGUAUGUUAUUUAAUUCGAUAAUCCGCGAAUAACCUUACCACAAUUUGAAUCAACCCGUGGGCCUUUGGCCUCUAUAAGGGUAGACAAGUGCUGCACGGCUGUCUUUAGCUAAUGUCGUGAGAUCUGGUUAAUUCCUUUAAUUAGCGCAAGCCCUUACUUUAUUUAUAAUUCACUUUUUAAAAGUGCCAAUAUAAAGUAGUUCGCCAAUAUAUCGGUUAGAUAAUAGGGAUUAAGACAAGUCAUCAUGGCCUUAAUAUUGUGGGCUAUAGACGUGCCACAUAUGCUUUUACAAAAGGAUGCAAAAUCGUGAGAUUUAGCUAAUCCUCAAAAAAGGACAUAACUAUUCGU
rnacentral:rRNA from 1 species